CAGCUGUGGUUUUCUGCUUUUUUGCACUGCUCAGGAGAAGCAGCAAGUUCAGCUUCCUUUUUUUUUAAUUUGGUUGCAAAACCUCCGAGCCGAACAGGUGUGUGCAAUCACGAACCACAGAGAUGAGCCCAAACUGCUGCUUUUCUAAAAAUUCCACCAGUCAGUGACACACACUGGUCAAGGUUGCACAACCUUGUUUUCCACAGGCUGUUUCUGAUGAUUCAUUGCCCUCGCGGAGGCUCUACGAAAAUGCUCUUCAUUCCUUCUCCUCUCACUAACAAUCAGCAGUACCCAAGCACUUCAUGAUCUUGUGGGAUUGUUCUGCAAGGGAGACUUGUCCAAAGCUACCAAACUUAUUCCACAUUUAGGUCUCCAUCCCCACCUAAGUGUCAGCACACUACUGUAAAUAAAAGGAAAUAUGUGGGAAAAGUUGGGUCUUCAGGAGGUCAGACGAUACCAAGAGCUGCAAUUGUGAAAGCUGACAUCAGACAGUGUCACUUUUAAUGUCUUCUCAAAUUCUGUCUGCAAAUACAUCACACACUGUUUUAUAAAGGAUAAUAACAGCUGCUUCCCAGUGGAGAGACAGGAGUUGGUGCCUCAAGUUCUGCUGUCCCUGCUCAACGUGCACUAAACACCCCACGUGAGUUCGUACAAAUAUUGAAAUAAAGCAUCCUUUGGGGCAGAAGUAAGUUUGCCUUCUUUGUGGAAGCUGUGCUCUCAAGGUUUUCCAAACCUACGUGUUUGCAGGCACGUCCUUCCCCAUGGAGCAGCCAGAGCAGACAGGGAAGGGCUUCAGAAGCAAAGGGUUGAACCUCCCUCCACUCCUCCAUCUGCUUCCCUUCACCCUACUCAUGGUUUCCGAGAAGUCCAGCCAGGCUGACACGAUGGAGGGAGGCAGGGGAAGCUCUGCUUGGUGUUGCCUGCAGCGCUUGAGCAAUACUGGAGUUCUCAGAAACCCUUGGAGUUUAUCAACACAUACUUGGUAUCUAAGGCGUUUAAGGUCUAUCCAAAGAUUAGGUGGCAGCAGGAUGUAGAACCUAGAUCCAAGUUUUAGGUUUCAAGGGGUAAAUCCCAGAUGGAAACUUAAGAUCAAGUGUUUUUCUACAGCCUAAACCUAUGAAAACUCAAAAAUCUUACCCUGCAUGUACCCAUAUUUUUAGACACCUAGUUAUGCUCAAGGAGUUAAGGAUGUUCCUUGUGAGAAGUCCUCAGAAAGAUGAUGCUGAAAGGAUCAUGGCCUGUCCUGAGGUAUUUACACAUAUUUUCACAACUCCACCAGUACAGCUCAGAGAGCUCUGCACAUCUCCUCUCCCCCGUGGCCAUCCUGCAAGUCACAUGUCUGACCCUCUGCAAAAACAGGGUCAUUACAAAGCAGCCACAUCAAAAUACAAGACCAUGAGGUCUAUUUCAAGGGAAGUUGGAUGGCAGCAUCCAGGACACUUAGAAAGAAGGAACAGAAACUUCAUAUCUCUGAACUUUUCCUUUGGAGCCUCAUGACUUCAGAUUUUUGCAAGUGCAUAAGGAAAGAUAUGUGCACAUGGAGAACCUGUGAUUCACUGGGCUUCAGUCUGUAAAUUUAACUCCUGAAUCACAGGAGCUAUAGUUCCAGAGUGAUUCUCUACCAACUCACAGGCAGCUAGCCAA